rnacentral:lncRNA from 1 species
GUCAGUAUCCGGCUUACAGGUGUGCGUGGGGAUUGUAAUUGCAUCGUCACCUGGCAGCUGAGAUGAGAACAGCUAAAUGAAACAAACAUGGAUUCCAUUGAUUUACUAGAGGAGGUGGGCUUCGGCGCGGCGGGCGGUGACGCGUC